rnacentral:antisense_RNA from 1 species
GAAAACCGGCUCUGAGGAUCGCUGUGAGGCAGCCAAGGACUGGAGGUUCCAUGAUUUGGGGGCGCCUCUGCCGCAGGCCCUUUCUACCUGAGUGUUCUCUCUUCUGCAACACCCGUUUCAACCCCUUUUAAAGGAAUUGGGGGCUAGCCAGACUAGACUAGGGGCGGCGAAACGCACUGAAGAGAGUCGGAUACAGAAUUUCUUGCAAACGAGGUCGAGUUGCGUCUGGGAUACGGUGUCAUGCCCCACCCCCGCCCCACGACCCUGCCGGCCCCACCUUUCUUUUGCUUCGCCUGCAGAAACCCGCACGGCCUUCUUACGUGCAUUUGAAAUUACCUAAGGGCGUAAGCAAUAUUUCCUCUGUCACGGAUUAAAACUUUCGAUGUAACGGUGUUA